rnacentral:sRNA from 1 species
AACCUAGUCAGUAUGUUCGGAUUGCCGUC